GUAGGUGGCAAGCGUUGUCCGGAAUUAUUGGGCGUAAAGCGCGCGCAGGCGGUUCUUUAAGUCUGAUGUGAAGGCCCACGGCUCAACCGUGGAGGGUCAUUGGAAACUGGAGAACUUGAGUACAGAAGAGGAAAGCGGAAUUCCACGUGUAGCGGUGAAAUGCGUAGAGAUGUGGAGGAACACCAGUGGCGAAGGCGGCUUUCUGGUCUGUAACUGACGCUGAGGCGCGAAAGCGUGGGGAGCAAACAGGGAUUAGAUACCCUGGUAGUCCACGCCGUAAACGAUGAGUGCUAAGUGUUAGGGGGGUUUCCGCCCCCCUUAGUGCUGCAGCUAACGCAUUAAGCACUCCGCCUGGGGAGUACGGCCGCAAGGCUG
rnacentral:rRNA from 1 species